AAAUAUAUAUAUAAUUUUUUCUACCUUAGAAUUUCAGAAAUUGCAUGAUUAGUCGAUGUAUUUUACUAUGAAUAUUUUUAACCCCUUGUCUUCUGUUUUCAAUGUUCGUUUACAAAUCUUUGCUACCAUUAAAACUAUGAACCAGUAUUAGUGGAGAAAGACUUCACACAGUGGAAAGGAGUUUCUCAUAAAUGAUAUGAGUAUAAUAAAAGACGACAUUCUGAUUAAUAGAAGAUGAAUUUUGAAAAAGUUGAUGUAAAUGCUGUAAAAAUUGAUUACAAUAGAGAGCAGUAGUGAUUGAUUUUGUUUCUAUGCCUGUAUCUAUGAAGAUAAAAGAACAUGUAUGAGAUUUCGAUUCAAGAAGAGGUUGCAUAUUCACUAUCCACAAAGGAAAAGAAAAAAUCACUUAUAAUUAUUGCACCAUACUUAUUAAGCUAAAGAAAGAAGAAUUUCAUUUUGGUUUACAUUAAUAUUUGAACUAGUUGGCAUAUAUCUUAAUAUUACUAUAUUACAUUUGUUUGUGGUUAAUAUGUUCUCUCAGUUUUUUUUUACAUGUAAGUACAAAAAGCCAGGAUGAUAGUAAUCAUUUAUUCUUUGAGUUUAGAUGUUAUCCAUACUUACUCUACAAACUAUUUAGAUAUUCAUACUGGAACAAAACAAUUAGUAACUUAAGAUUCCUCAUGAUCUGAAACUGAAAUUGAAUAUUCUCAACAAAAAUACAUGUAACUUAAUCUAGUUAUUAAAUAAAUGCUAUAAAAUAUAUUGUAUACUUAUAAAACUGAUAACAGGGUAAUUAAUUACUCAUACAAAAUUUCGUGUACUUUUCUGUUCAUAUGGCGUGGCACAGAGUGCAUCCGCCUGAAACAUAGUUUAAGAAAGUGCAUUUUUGUAAAGGGAGUUUUGGACAACGAAAUUUAUGAUGAGUAUCAGCAAACUUAAAUACUGAACUUUUAACUUGAUAGUAUUAAUAAUAAUAAAAGAGAAAAUUA
rnacentral:lncRNA from 1 species